rnacentral:miRNA from 10 species
GACAGAACCGCAUUGUAGGGCUCCACCACCGUGUCCGACACCUUGGGAGAAGGCAUGACACUGAAGGAAUUCAUGAUCCGGUCCGGGUACUCCUCUCUAAUCUUGUUCAUG